GAUGAAGAACGUAGCGAAAUGCUAUACUUGGUGUGAAUUGCAGAAUCCCGUGAACCAUCGAGUCUUUGAACGCAAGUUGCGCCCGAAGCCAUUAGGCCGAGGGCACGCCUGCCUGGGCGUCACACGUCGUUGCCCCCCCCAUCUACUCCUUCGGGAUUGCGGGGGGCGGAUGAUGGCCUCCCGUGCGCCUCGCCGCGCGGUUGGCAUAAAUGCCAAGUCCUCGGCGACGCACGCCACGACAAUCGGUGGUUGCGAAACCUCGGUUGCCCGUCGUGUGCGGUCGUCGCGCAUCGAGGGCUCGAAAAAAUUGCCGGGCUCCGGCUCGGCUUUCAACGCGACCCCAGGUCAGGCGGGGUUACCCGCUGAAUUUAAGCAUAUCAAUAAGCGGAGGA
rnacentral:misc_RNA from 1 species